rnacentral:misc_RNA from 1 species
AACAAGGCGUACCUGCGGACCUGCGGAAGGAUCAUUACCGAGUUUACAACUCCCAAACCCCUGUGAACAUACCUAUACGUUGCCUCGGCGGAUCAGCCCGCGCCCCGUAAAACGGGACGGCCCGCCCGAGGACCCCUAAACUCUGUUUUUAGUGGAACUUCUGAGUAAAACAAACAAAUAAAUCAAAACUUUUAACAACGGAUCU